rnacentral:rRNA from 1 species
AUCCGGGUUGCGGACAGUGUCUGGUGGGUAGUUUGACUGGGGCGGUCUCCUCCUAAAGAGUAACGGAGGAGCACGAAGGUUGGCUAAUCCUGGUCGGACAUCAGGAGGUUAGUGCAAUGGCAUAAGCCAGCUUGACUGCGAGCGUGACGGCGCGAGCAGGUGCGAAAGCAGGUCAUAGUGAUCCGGUGGUUCUGAAUGGAAGGGCCAUCGCUCAACGGAUAAAAGGUACUCCGGGGAUAACAGGCUGAUACCGCCCAAGAGUUCAUAUCGACGGCGGUGUUUGGCACCUCGAUGUCGGCUCAUCACAUCCUGGGGCUGAAGUAGGUCCCAAGGGUAUGGCUGUUCGCCAUUUAAAGUGGUACGCGAGCUGGGUUUAGAACGUCGUGAGACAGUUCGGUCCCUAUCUGCCGUGGGCGCUGGAGAACUGAGGGGGGCUGCUCCUAGUACGAGAGGACCGGAGUGGACGCAUCACUGGUGUUCGGG